UGGAAGACUAGUGAUUUUGUUGUUCGGCUUUGCGACCGCUAACAAAAAAUCACCAGUUUCCUA
rnacentral:pre_miRNA from 1 species